rnacentral:snRNA from 1 species
GUGCUUGCUUCAGCAGCACAUAUACUAAAAUUGGAAUGAUACAGAGAAGUUUAGUAUGGCCCCUGCACAAGGAUGACACACAAAUUCAUGAAAUGUUCCAUAUUUUU